rnacentral:sRNA from 1 species
AAAAUUAAAAUGCAAAAUUUUGUAAUAAUUCCGAGGAGACCAAAAUUUUCAGAAAUUUCAAAA